GAUGAACGCUAGCGGCAGGCCUAACACAUGCAAGUCGAGGGAGAAGCCCUUUCGGGGGUGGAAACCGGCGCACGGGUGCGUAACGCGUAUGCAACCUACCUUUCACAGGGGGAUAGCCCAAAGAAAUUUGGAUUAAUACCCCAUAAUAUUAUUGGAUGGCAUCAUUUGAUAAUUAAAACUGCGGUGGUGAAAGAUGGGCAUGCGUCCUAUUAGCUAGUUGGAGUGGUAACGGCACCCCAAGGCUACGAUAGGUAGGGGUCCUGAGAGGGAGAUCCCCCACACUGGUACUGAGACAGGGACCAGACUCCUACGGGAGGCAGCAGUGAGGAAUAUUGGUCAAUGGUCGGAAGGCUGAACCAGCAUGCCGCGUGCAGGAAGAAUGCCUUAUGGGUUGUAAACUGCUUUUAUAUGGGAAGAAUAAGGCGUACGUGUACGUUGAUGACGGUACCAUAUGAAUAAAGCAUU
rnacentral:rRNA from 1 species